GAAGAACUGUAACUCAAUUUGUAGAGCACAUUUUGCUUUGAAUGCAAAAGGUCUCUGGUUCAGUCCCUGACAUCUUCA